rnacentral:rRNA from 1 species
UACGAAGGGGGCUAGCGUUGUUCGGAUUUACUGGGCGUAAAGCGCACGUAGGCGGAUCGUUAAGUCAGGGGUGAAAUCCUGGAGCUCAACUCCAGAACUGCCUUUGAUACUGGCGAUCUUGAGUCCGGAAGAGGUGAGUGGAACUCCUAGUGUAGAGGUGGAAUUCGUAGAUAUUAGGAAGAACCCCAGUGGCGAAGGCGGCUCACUGGUCCGGUACUGACGCUGAGGUGCGAAAGCGUGGGGAGCAAACAGG